ensembl:lncRNA
CGUAUGGGGGGACAGCGGAGGAGGGGGACCUAAGCAGGCUUCAGGCACCCACUUGGCUGCAGUCACCCCCAAGAUUGAAUCAGGAUAGCAAUCCAGCUAUGGCCUCUCUCAUUAGGCAGACAGGGGUCCUGGGAUGGACAGAUCAGGCCUCUCUCACUGGGCAGACAGGGGUCCUGGGAUGGACAGAUCAGGCCUCUCUCACUGGGCAGACAGGGGUCCUGGGAUGGACAGCUCAGGCCUCUCUCAUUAGGCAGAUAGGGAUCCUGGGAUGGACAGCUCAGGCCUCUCUCAUUAGGCAGACAGGGAUCCUGGGAUGGACAGCUCAGGCCUCUCUCAUUAGGCAGACAGGGGUCCUGUGAUGGACAGCUCAGGCCUCUCUCAUUAGGCAGACAGGGGUCCUGGGAUGGACAGCAAGCACAGCUUCCCCAUGUACAGAGCUGAUCAAGGGUGAUCUCAUUUAAGUUUUUUGAAAAGGGACAUGUUUGUUAAAAUGGGUAGUGAAUUUAAUAUCCUUUUAUGUAAUGUUCUGAGUUAUGAUGCUAUCAUUUCGUUGAUGUUGCUACUUAUUAAAUGUGUUUUCUGCUAUCUUUGUACUCAAUUUUAAAU